UCAGAGCAGGACCCGGUGACAUCAUCUUCGUUGAAGUGUUUUAAUAAUGUUGUGGUUUCUCAGGACUUUCUAUGUCCUAGCAUGGGUGGGGUGUGUGUGUGUCCGGUGUGUGUGUGGCAUCAACAUUUCUCCACAGCAGCUCUGAGUUGAGCUGAUGAGCUCUGCACACCUGACCAGGAUCUCCUCAUCAGCUCAGGAGUGUUUAGAGGCCAGGUCGUCAGGUACUCAGAGCUGGAACUUCUCCUCUGACCAUGUGGUAACUAGAACUCGUUGUCGUAGUGACAUACCUGUGGUGAUGAUCUGCAGUAAUUGAUCCUCUUGUUCUCUGCUUGGUAGAUUUUUGGAUUUCGACCGCCCUGUGUACUCAGAGAACAGGAAAACCAGCUCACAUUACUCAGCGCUUCUUUAAGACUGCAGCCUGCUAUGAUUUAGAUGAGCCGUGUCACCUGGGCUGUGAUUGAAAGGACCUUUUCUUCACACCCAUCCUGUGAGACUUUCCCCGACUUGGCAUCUUUGCUGCGCCCAAUGAGUUGCCAUGCAGCAAAGACACACAGACAGAUCUGACAAGCAAUUAUGCCAUGGUUGUUCUUUUUAGCAGUGAUGGGAUGAGCUCUGGCCUGCUGGCAAAACAUGAGCAUGAGGACAUGGGAGAUGGAACGCUCCCAUGUGAUUGACAUCUGGGUGGCAGGAUUACCGAUCUCAAGAUUAUUUUUUUGUUUGACUUUUUAUGUUUUUCCAAGACUUGAGUCCCCUCAAUACAAGUAUAAUUUUGUUUUUUAAUAUAGUACAAAGCCCUCAGAUUAGAAUGACUUCUUGGUUUUUGUUAAAUUAAAAAUGUAU